rnacentral:lncRNA from 1 species
UGCCGCUUGUGAAAUUAAACAGACAGUCGUAUCGUAUCGGUCAACUAAUUUAUGAUGGUGACAAUCACCUUCACGAAGUGUUGAAAUCAGUAAAUCUUCCUCAUAACUCUGUCGGAGCAAUUUUUGCGCUCGCCCUGCAACAUCUGAUACCAAAUUCCAUAAAGAAAACGUUUUGGUUGCCUGUAAUCAAUUACCAAGCAUAAUGCAUAUAAUGUACAGGACACAAAUCACAAUGUUGUUAUGAUUAUAAUCAUCGUCAGUUCAGACUCAAGUAUAUUUGCAUAUUUAAUUUCAAAUAACGAAUUGUUUAUUUAUCUAAUCGUUCGUGAAUUUUCAAAGUUU